GCUUGUCUCAAAGAUUAAGCCAUGCAUGUCUAAGUACAAGCCUCAGUAAGGUGAAACCGCGAAUGGCUCAUUAAAUCACACCUAAUCUACUGGAAAGUUACUAGUUACUUGGAUAACUGAGGUAAUUCUUGAGCUAAUACAUGCGAAAAAUCUCGACUCACGGAGAGAUGCUUUUAUUAGAUAAAGAACCAAUCCAUGCUUGCAUGGUUUUGUGGUGAUUCAUAAUAACUGAUCGAAUCGCAUGCCUUCGGGCGGCGAUGUAUCAUUCAAGUUUCUGACCUAUCAGCUUCCGACGGUAGGGUAUUGGCCUACCGUGGCAAUGACGGGUAACGGGGAAUUAGGGUUCGAUUCCGGAGAGGGAGCCUGAGAAACGGCUACCACAUCUAAGGAAGGCAGCAGG
rnacentral:rRNA from 1 species